rnacentral:lncRNA from 1 species
UAAACGAUGCCUUAAGGGCUAUAUUUAUAGGGAAAAGAGAGGGGAUUUUGUCCACCCUUGGCAAGGUGGGACUAAAACACCUCCUAAGUCGUUUUCCCUACAAUAUGGACUCUAAAAAUAGAUUACAUGGGCCUGGCCCAAAAUAAGGUGGCGCAACACCAGUAAUAAGCUAUGGACAAAAUUUAUGAAAGGCCAUCUUGUAUAUCUCGUCCAUCAUCUUGUAUGUCAUUAUGGUGGCUUCAAAGUACGGAAGUCACCACUUGAACCUCUGUUCUUGUUCUCUUUGCACACACCUUCAUCUCCGUGCUUGACCACGCUCCAAUGUUCAAGCUUCUUGUCCCUUCUAUACCCUUCAAUUGCAAGCAACACAAAUGUAUCUAAGUUAGGCAACAUCAUAUUCUCAUGAACACUAGAAACAUUACCAAGAAACGAAAGUACCUGAUAAUUUAAUUGGCGUAUCUGAGCUCUAGCAAAUGUUCCGAGAGGUAAAACAGUAGGGGAUAUGGGUGUAACUAUGGUAGCGAUGUCCUCAUCAUCCUCCCCUUCUUGAAAACAAAGCCGUCCUCGGCGUUGCUUAAUCUGAAAUCUGGCUAACAAAAGAGACAAGGUGUACAUGUUGUAUAUGUAUAUGUCAUCCAUUUUCACUGAUCUCAGUUGAGGCACAUGUGACAUAGUUAUACAAGAGCACCCUACAAAAGUCGUGAAAUAUAAAGCCAAUAUAUUAUCAUAAGAAGUCAAAGGCAUGAAAAUAUUGCAACUCAGUUUGCACAUAUAAGUGAAGCUCUUAUUCAUAUCAAAAGAUUGACAAUGCUUAUCAUUAAACCAUCCCAACAUUGAUGAACCAUCACCAAGAUUAGAGGUCAUAUCAAAAUGAUUAAACAUUGGCACAAUUAUUUUCAAACGUAUUUGAUCCAAAUCUGAGUUAUUCCCUGAUUCACAUGGUUCUUUCGCAUCAAUAGUUAGUUCAAUGGGUUCACUCAAAAUUGUUUGAUCACAUGGCAAAGUCAAACCAUGAACAUAGUCUUCUAAAAUAGCUGGUGUGAUCAUAGUAGUGGGUAGCUCAUGGUAUGGUUCAUUCAAAUUGACAAGGCAUUCAUCAUACUCAUGUGGAGGUGGGAGAUCGAUACCUUUGUCAUUACCUCUUACGAUCAACUCAGAUGUAGGCACUGUCGGUGGUGUUGUGUCACAUGGUGGAGGUGAUGUAGUCCUCACAACAACGGAUGUGGUUUUCAUAGCAUGCCUAGUAGUUGAAAGAACAACCGUAUCAUCUCUUGGAAUGUGCACCUUGUGCUUGUUCUCUUUGAGGGCAACACGUCAUUUUAUUUCCUGUUCAGCUUUACAAGCAAGACGAAACAAACGAUCCAUAGGAUAACACUCUUCAUGAAUUAGUUUCUCCUGAAUAUCACGGUUUAAUCCUCCCCAAAAUCUAUCCAUAAAAUAUUCUUCAAUUUCUUCUAAAGAGGAAUGCAACAAGGUAGUUUGUAAAGCAUCAUAAUAUUUCGUUACGGUGUCACUACCUUGUUCUAAAUGUUACAACUUUUUAAUCAUGUCACGAGUAUAAUAAGCGGGAACGAAUGUAUGUCGCAUGGCAAGUUUCAAAUCAUCCCAAGUAGAAGGUAUAUCAUUAGGGUGUAACUGACAAUAUUCAUUCCACCAAACUAAAGCAUAAUCAGUGAAAGAACCAACCGCAACCUUAACUUUUUUAUGUUUAUCAAAAUUAUGGGAAGCAAAUAUAUUAUUUAUAUCGAACUCCCAUUCAAUAUAUAAAGCAGGUCUAAAACGGUCAUUAAAUGAUGGUAUAGGAACAUUAACCUGAUCAUGUGCAUUUGGAUGUUUAUGCACCUCUCGUGAUCGUUGUGGAAUUUGCAAAGGUGGCGGCACGUCUCCCGCGAUCAACAAAGCCCAUGAAUUGACUCUAGAUCCUGUCAUGAUUAGUAGAAACAAGAAACAAAAUCCAUAAAUAAUAUUCCUAUAACUACUAGGAUGUGGUGUUAAAACGCUCACAGUAAAGCAAAUAUCAAUGUCUUACAAGUUCUUACCAUGCAGCAGGCGGUGAUCGACAACCAGCGGUGUCAAGUAACUCCAAAAGUUGGGUAAAGCGAUUGUCAGGUGAACGUAUGGAUACACGGUGUAGAAAUAUGUGGAGCUGGGUUGGCUUUAUAUAUGUGGAAAAAAAUGCUACAACCACAUUAAUUAAUGCAAGCUGAGUAGUCGUUCAAGGUAGUCGAGUGUUGGUCCUAGACUAGACCAUGCUAGAGACGCGAGCCUAAGACACAAGUGUAAUUCACGUGCAGACUUGAGAUGCAACAAACCUUAUGAGUAAUGCAUCAACCAGAAAGUACUAGCACUAUUAUAUCUCCAAAUAGGUUGUACGUGGCUGUUCUCUCUUUGCUUUUUUUUGCCAACCUCUCUUUUUUUCAACCGAUAUGAGAAUCAAAGUGCCUUCAUCAAACAAAAAAAACUGCACGCAGGAGUCCUUCGAAAACCACUACAAUCGGAUCAGCGGUUUUUUUCCUAUCUCUCAAGGAUUGACCUGGAGUACUACUCCCAAACUUCCUUCCACGUUUUUUUUUCAACCUUGUCAAACGGAUCCGCAAUCCUUUCUUUUAGUCCGUGGCACAAGCAAGCGAAUAUAUCUAGACUUCCCAAAAAGAAUAACUAUUGGUCAAACUUUCCAAACCAACUAGUUUCCUUCCGUGGCAAAAUAACAUGCAGAAAAACUUGGAAACCGAAACAAUCAGAAUGGCAGUUUUUUUUUCAAUUCCCAAACGUGAAAUAUUCCCUUCCAAACUCCCUCUUCUUGCCUUUUUUUGUUGUUGCUGCGAUCUCCACUACUACCGUAAGGAAUCUGCUAUUUUUUUUCUUUAAACGUACAGAUCUCUUCCCAACAACCAAAACUCUUUCCUCGGAUACUGUUACAACCUUCCAAAACUUGUGCGCGUGACUUCUCUCUCUUCCCUAAAAUUCGGUCCAGACUAAGGCAACUCCGAUCUGCCUAGUUUAAUGUCACCAACCCCACCUUUUGUUUUCUCCUCCAAAAAUAAUCAGGGAUAUAUGAAACAGAUCAACGCUUUUUUUUUCACGUUGGCUGCUCCCUUUUUCUAGGAAACCGAGUCAAACUUCCGUUUUGAUCUCCAUGUUGGCUGCUCCCUUUUUCUUUUAGUCAAUCUCCAAUAUAUGCAAGUUGUCCAGCCGAAGGAAAGCAACAAAUCUUUUUUUUUGCUCGUGUAUCUUUGGAAACCGAACAAAGAUCUCCAAUCCAAGUAGUACUUCGUGGGAAAGUACUAUUCUGAUUUAUUUUUCCUGUUUUCAAUUAUCUCUCCUUCUCUCUUAGAGAACCUACGGGAUCAACACCUCUCUUCUUUUAUUUUGGCCGAUCUAACUUGCUUCAAAAGAUGUUUUUUUUUCUUUCCAGACCGAUCCAAUCACCCUUUUUUUCAACUCACAACACCUUACGAACAAGUCAAUUGACUAGAACGUGGUGUCUCUCUUACCAAGAAUCGUGGGAUUCCUUUCCUUCAAAACCGUGCAAGGCAAACCAUCUUUCUCUUUCUUUCUCUCCAAUAUUGCCCGUAGCAAUAUGUUGAACUUUUUUUUUUGCCCGAUCCAAUCUCUCUGUAAGGAUCUUUUCUCAAGUUUUUCUCCUCAAGAUGAACCAAAACACAAUGACGACAAAUGAUGAAGCUGGAUGGAUGAUAGUGAUGGCGGCAAACAAAACAAGUGGCAGCGAAAUAUGAUAAUGAAGUGGAUGAUGGUGGGAGUGGACGCGACGUGAACAAUACGUGACGAGAACUCAAAACUCUAAAAGUCUAACACUAGAACCAACAACUUGACACACGAUGCAACCGAAAAUUCAACAAUGCAAAAACGAAGUGGUAAUAGCGAAAAGGCUAAGACUGUCUGGGACACGGAGGAACUAAUCUAACUUUUUUUGUGGCUUUUUCUUGGACAAUAGGUAUGAAGAACAGAUGCAAUCUAAGACUAUGAAAAACUAGAAAAUCUCAUCGAGCAACCUGAAAACUGAUACCACUUGAUAGAUGCGGAGUGUCCCGAUCUUUCGAUGAGAUGAUAACUAUUGAUUUGGUGGAGACGACUUUGACGAUCCGACUACAAACGUGCACGACGUUGCGCCUUAGCAAUCGCUAAACCAAUCUCCUGAGGUUAUUGACCACGCCGGUGCACGAUCAACCUGACCACGAAGGUCUAUUCCUGUAAGCAAUCGAAGAACGAGCAAGAAUAUGAUAAAAGCAAUCUGAAUAUUGCGAAUAUGUAUGAAGUAUUGAUAAAGGUGGGGAUCUAAAAGCGGUCUUGGUCUGGUUGUUGGACACAAACGAAGUACACAAAGUUGCGUUGGCUAACUUUUAAGUAAACAAAUCCCAAGUCUAAACGAUGCCUUAAGGGCUAUAUUUAUAGGGAAAAGAGAGGGGAUUUUGUCCACCCUUGGCAAGGUGGGACUAAAACACCUCCUAAGUCAUUUUCCCUACAAUAUGGACUCUAAAAAUAGAUUACAUGGGCCUGGCCCAAAAUAAGGUGGCGCAACACCAGUAAUAAGCUAUGGACAAAAUUUAUGAAAGGCCAUCUUGUAUAUCUCGUCCAUCAUCUUGUAUGUCAUCAUGGUGGCUUCAAAGUACGGAAAUCACCACUUGAACCUCCGUUCUUGUUCUCUUCGCACGCACCUUCAUCUCCGUGCUUGACCAUGCCCCAAUAUUCAAGCUUAUUGUCCCUACUAGGCCCUUCAAUUGCAAGCAACACAAAUGUAUCUAAGUUAGGCAGCAUCAUAUUCUCAUGAACACUAGAAACAUUACCAAGAAACGAAAGUACCUGAUAAUUUAAUUGGCGUAUAUGAGCUCUAGCAACUGUUCCAAGAGGUAAAACAGUAGGGGAUAUGGGUGUAACUGUGGUAGCCAUGUCCUCAUCAGCACCAGGGGCCAGCUGGCCGGGCACCUGGGGCGGCGGCUGCAGUGCCCAGCAGCAGGGCCGGGCACCCAGGGCCAACCAGGUCGGGCACCUGGGGCGUCCAGGGAGGGGGCCGGCCGGCUGCUAGGGGACCGGGCACCCGGGGAUGUCCACGUCCGGGCACCCGGAGGGUCCAGGG